GAUGAACGCUAGCGGCAGGCCUAAUACAUGCAAGUCGAACGGUGUCUUCGGACAUAGUGGCGCACGGGUGCGUAACACGUAUGCAACCUACCUUACAUUGGGGGAUAGCCUUUCGAAAGGGAGAUUAAUACCGCAUAAGACAGUAGCUGGGCAUCCAGCAGCUGUUAAAGAUUUAUCGAUGUAAGCUGGGCAUGCGUCCAAUUAGCUAGUUGGUGGGGUAACGGCUCACCAAGGCAAUGAUUGGUAGGGGAACUGAGAGGUCAAUCCCCCACACUGGCACUGAGAUACGGGCCAGACUACUGCGGGAGGCAGCAGUAGGGAAUAUUGGGCAAUGGACGCAAGUCUGACCCAGCCAUGACGCGUGCAGGAGGAAGGCGUUAUGCGUUGUAAACUGCUCUUAUAAAGGAAGAAACGACUCUUGCGAGAGGCAUUGACGGUACUGUAUGAAUAAGCACCGGCUAAUUCCGUGCCAGCAGCCGCCGUAAGAC
rnacentral:rRNA from 1 species